AUGCAUCCGCUCUACAUAUUGUUACUUGGGCUUCUCUUCUUGCCCACAUCUUGCUGCUCCACAUCUGCAUCCGUAGGUGAUACUCUCGUGGCGGGCCGAGUGCUCACCGUCGGUGAUAAGCUCGUCUCAAGAAACGGCAAGUUCGCGCUUGGAUUCUUCCAGCCAGCGGCAAGCACUAUUAGUAAGUCGUCCCACAACAACUGGUACCUUGGCAUAUGGUUCAAUAAAAUUCCAGUUUUCACUACUGUGUGGGUUGCUAAUAGGGAGAAGCCCAUUGCCCACGCCAACAUUAACUCAACACACCUCAAGAUCUCAAGAAACGACAAUCUUGUCAUUGUCGUAAAACAUGCUAUUGCCGGCACUGAAUCCCUUGUUUGGUCCACUCACAUGGUCAAUUGGACACAAAGUAGCAGCAUAAACACCACCACCACUAGUGUUGCUGUUCUCUUGAACACUGGAAAUCUUGCUGUCAAAGUCACAGAUAGCCCAUCAUCUGACCUACCGUUAUGGCAGAGCUUCGACUAUCCAUUAGAUGUCGGGCUUCCUGGCGCCAAGUUGGGCCGGAACAAGGUCACUGGUUUCAGUCGCCAGUUCAUAUCAAAAAAGAGCCGCAUUGAUCUGGGUCUUGGCUCAUACAGCAUGGAACUAGAAGACACCAGCGGGAUCGUCCUCAAGCGCCGCAACAACCCCUUGGUAAAGUAUCUGGUUUAUGCAACCUCGGGAUCAUCAUCUUUGAUACCAAUGCUCAAGACACUUCUAGAUUUAGAUCCUCGGACCAAAGGUUUGAUUAACCUAACAUAUGUCAAUAACAACCAGGAGGAGUACUACACGUACACUUUACUGGAUGAAUCAUCGUCUUCCAUAUUUGUCUCACUAGACAUCUCUGGUCAGGUUAAGCUGAAUAUUUGGUCACAAGCCAACCAGUCUUGGCAAAUCAUAUAUUCCGAGCCUGCUGAUCCCUGCAGCCCGCCUGCUACGUGCGGGCCUUUCACAGUUUGCAACGGCAUUGCGCAUCCAUCAUGUAUCUGUAUGGAGAGCUUCUCCCAUAAGUCACGACAUGAUUGGGAGUUUGAGGAUCGAACAGGAGGGUGCAUUAGAAACACACCUUUACAUUGCAGCACUAGUGGUAACAAGAAAAACAUGACAAGUUCAACAGACAUGUUCCACCCCAUUGCUCAUGUUGCAUUGCCCUACAACCCACAAAUUAUAGAAGUUGCUACCACUCAGAGCAAAUGUGAAGAAGCAUGUCUCGGUUCUUGCUCCUGCACUGCUUAUUCCUAUAACAACAACAGAUGCUCUGUCUGGCAUGGGGAACUGCUUAGUGUAAAUCUGAAUGAUGGCAUUGAAAAUAAUUCUGAAGAUGUUCUUUACCUUUGCCUUGCUGCCAAAGAUUCGCUACCCGGUUCCAGAAAAAAGAAAAGAAAACCAAAGGUCGGAGUUGUUACUAUUGUAAGUAUUAUUGGUUUUGGGUUAAUAAUGGUCAUGUUGUUGUUACUGAUUUGGAGGAACAAAUUCAAGUGUUGUGGUUUGCCUAUGUAUGACAAUCUAGGUAGUGCUGGUGGAAUUGUAGCCUUCAAAUACACCGACUUGGUUCGUGCUACUAAAAGCUUCUCAAAAAAGCUUGGAGGAGGUGGUUUUGGUUCUGUAUACAAAGGAGUCUUAAAUGACUCGACUAGUAUAGCAGUGAAAAGGCUUGAUGGUGCCUGUCAAGGAGAGAAGCAAUUCAGGGCCGAGGUGAGCUCAAUUGGACUGAUCCAACACAUAAACCUAGUCAAAUUGAUUGGUUUCUGCUGUGAAGGUGAUCACAGAUUACUUGUGUACGAACACAUGUUAAAUGGUUCUCUUGAUGGUCAUCUAUUUAAGACGAGCAAUGCAAAUGUUGUCGUCCUAAAUUGGAACAUCAGAUAUCAGAUAGCCCUAGGAGUUGCUAGAGGAUUGUCCUACUUGCAUCAGGGUUGUCGCAAGUGCAUCAUACACUGCGAUAUUAAGCCAGAGAACAUACUUUUGGAUGCAUCAUUUGUUCCUAAAGUUGCAGACUUUGGGUUGGCAACAUUUGUGGGAAGGGAUUUCAGCCGAAUUCUUACUUCAUUCAGAGGAACUGUGGGUUAUCUUGCCCCAGAGUGGCUUACUGGAGUGGCGAUCACACCGAAAGUCGACGUUUACGGCUUCGGCAUGGUGCUAUUUGAAAUCAUAUCAGGAAGGAGGAAUUCUUCACCUGAAACAUCGUACAACACUAGCAGCAACUACAGUGACCAGAAUAUUGAAUACUUCCCUGUGCAAGCCAUCAGCAAGCUUCACGGUGGAGAUUUGAAGAGUUUGGUAGAUCCGCAGUUACAUGGUGUUUUCAAUUUGGAAGAGGCUGAAAGGGUUUGCAAAGUUGCAUGUUGGUGCAUCCAAGAUAAUGAAUUCGAUCGGCCAAUAAUGGGUGAAGUUGUCCGGGUUCUUGAGGGUCAACAGGACAUUGAUGUUCCUCCAAUGCCAAGAUUGCUUGCAGCUAUAACAGAACAAUCUGGUGUCGCAACUUCAAUGUAA
rnacentral:rRNA from 1 species